rnacentral:sRNA from 1 species
GCCAGGCAUAGUGGCAUACCCCUGUAAUCCCAGUGGCUUGGGAGGCUGAGGCAGGAGGAUCAUGAGUUUAAGGCCAGCUUUAACAAUUUAGCUAGGAGGCACUAAGCAACUCAGUGAGACCCUGUCUCUA